AUUCUGUAGUAAUCCGAUCAGAGAAUAAUACACUGUAAUCGACGGCAAGAGAUACACAAAAUUUUGUUUACAUUGAGUAACAUCCACCAUGAUCAACGUGGAUAGUUUGUUAGAGUCCGGUGUCGGCUACUCUCAAGGAAUUAACUCACCUAUCAAUGAAAAUAUUGACAUGCAAUCGGGUUGGCAUGACAUUGAAAGCUUAUCCAUGAUGUACCAAGACAACACUCCAUACGAAAAUGGAAUGCUGCAGGCUCUUGACCAAAUGAGAGCAGCCAACAUGUCCGGGAAACACGAAAUCUCCGAUGUUGCUGGAAACCGUUCUCCGUGCGAACAGAGGGAGACUUAUGAUGAACUCCUUGACUAUGACUUUAUUCUCGCAAAUACCGUGGAAAGCCAGAGUUUAUAUUCUGAGGACAAUUGUUUGAAAAUUAAACAGGAGCAAUCUCAGUCCAAUAUGAUUGGUGGAGACGCGUUACCAGACUUUCAUUCCACCUUCCUAGAUAUUCCUGAUAUUAAAUUUGACAAUGAUGUGAACAAUAGUCUACCAAAUGAAAUGGAAACCAUGAAAAUGGACUUCAACAAAUACAUUGUUCCAAAACAAGAAUUCGGACACGCAACUGUUUCUAGUUCUUGUGCAUCUUACUUGGGCAACAAAUCGCCUGUGAUGACAAUGUCCCGCUUAACCUGCAAUGCCACGCCAGUAUCCCCGCAGCACCAACAGAUGCAUUAUCCAGUCAACAUUCCUAGCAAUAUGUCCCCACCAUCAUCUCCGGAAAUGCAAAACGAUCUCCCAAAAUACCGCGCACCUCUUCAGAUGCUGCAACAGCAACAACAAAGUCACUUCCACCGCAUGGCUCCACAGCAAAUCCACCCUCUCCAAAACCAGCAGUACCUGAUGAACACCAAUCCAUACAUGCCAAAAAUGCAACAACAGCACAUGUUGCAAGUCCCACACCAGAUGAUCACACCACCGUCAUCACCGCAACUUGUUGACCUGUUGCUGCCACCGCCAACUGUUGAUUCAACCGCCGCUCAACCGAAAGAAGCGAGGCCGACGAACCUGGGGCCGAAAACGCCAGACAAGCCACACCUGCACGCACCCCGGCUGCAACAAAACGUACACCAAAAGUUCCCAUCUGAAGGCGCAUUUGCGAACACACACAGGUGAAAAACCAUACGCAUGCACAUGGAAAGGCUGUGGAUGGAAGUUCGCGCGAUCUGACGAACUUACAAGGCAUUACAGGAAACACACUGGCGAUCGCCCCUUCCAAUGCCAUCUCUGCGAGAGAGCCUUCUCAAGGAGUGACCAUUUGUCCCUGCACAUGAAACGCCACAUAUAGACACGAGCCGAUGUGCAAGUCGUCUUGCUUGAAGCAAUACUGUUCCAUAGGAAUUGUUGGAAGAAGACGAAACCUUUUCAAUAAUUUGACUGCAAACAAAAAAUUGCUACUUCAAAGUUUGAAAAAAGCAAUAUGCAACAUUUUAGCAUACUUGUAGUCAGAAGGUUAUGUCUUCAGUCGUAUUUUUUCCGGAAGUCAGGCUGGACCGUUUCGGAUUUUACGACACUGCGAGGGCUGUUCGCCCCGAGUGGCCCCUGAGCAGAGAGAGACGAAGGGUUAAAGCUAUAUAGAUAUUUGAACUGUUUUGUAAAAACACAAGUAUUUGAAACAGUUGUUCCUUUGAUAGAGUAUAGCAUAUUAUCGCAGCUAUGCAACUGCCACCAACCUACUAAUAACUCACUGUACCUUUGUAUUAAGUUUACUUACUGGCAGCGAAAGUAUUGUAAUUAUCAAUCAAAAGUGCAAUUUUUAUUUUUGCCUUUUGUGCCUAGUUUGCACGUUUGAACGACUGGUUUCGGAUGAAAUUACUGUAGAUCUUUUAUGAUCACUUUGUAUACGAAAAAUAUUUAUAUAUAUACUCGAAACUAUGAUUUUCAACGAAGAGCCUAUUGAGAUUUUAGAAAAUGUGCUUGAUAAUUAAUAUUCUUAAAAAGAAUCUACGGAAUAAUUGUGUUCAUUAAUUUGCUUCCUUACAAUAAUAGCAGGUUAGGUAUUGAAGAAAACCGUUUGAUUGUUAUUAUGCGUUGGUGCUUAUAUAUUAUAUUAUCUGAUUCACUGUUAUUUAUUUUGUUGUACAUGUAACAUACACACUAGUCCAUUUAUUCUAAUAUUGUUAUACUGAGAGUGCCAUGUUGGAUGCCCAGCGGGCCUGGGCUGGUUGUGUCACAUAAAAAUUAUAUACUGUUAUUUAUUUUGAUGGUACGAAAUAAAAUAUAUUGAAACU
rnacentral:sRNA from 1 species